GCCCGGGUGGUCUAGUGGUAUGAUUCUCGCUUAGGGUCACAAACCUGAGCAUAUCUGCGAGAGGUCCCGCGUUCGAUCCGCGGCUCGGGCC
rnacentral:tRNA from 1 species